rnacentral:tRNA from 4 species
GCGAGCGUAGUAUAACGGCUAUUAUGGCUGCCUUCCAAGCAGCAGACGCGGGUCCGACUCCCGCCGCUCGCACAA